rnacentral:rRNA from 1 species
UGAGGAAUAUUGGUCAAUGGACGCAAGUCUGAACCAGCCAAGUAGCGUGCAGGAUGACGGCCCUAUGGGUUGUAAACUGCUUUUAUAUGGGGAUAAAGUGGGGAACGUGUUCCCUUUUGCAGGUACCAUAUGAAUAAGGACCGGCUAAUUCCGUGCCAGCAGCCGCGGUAAUAAGGAAGGUUCGGGCGUUAUCCGGAUUUAUUGGGUUUAAAGGGAGCGUAGGCCGUUUGGUAAGCGUGUUGUGAAAUGUAGGAGCUCAACUUCUAGAUUGCAGCGCGAACUGUCAGACUUGAGUGCGCACAACGUAGGCGGAAUUCAUGGUGUAGCGGUGAAAUGCUUAGAUAUCAUGAAGAACUCCGAUUGCGAAGGCAGCUUACGGGAGCGCAACUGACGCUGAAGCUCGAAGGUGCGGGUAUCGAACAGG